GUGGGGAAUAUUGGACAAUGGGCGAAAGCCUGAUCCAGCCAUGCCGCGUGUGUGAAGAAGGUCUUCGGAUUGUAAAGCACUUUAAGUUGGGAGGAAGGGCAGUAAGUUAAUACCUUGCUGUUUUGACGUUACCGACAGAAUAAGCACCGGCUAACUUCGUGCCAGCAGCCGCGGUAAUACGAAGGGUGCAAGCGUUAAUCGGAAUUACUGGGCGUAAAGCGCGCGUAGGUGGUUUUGUAAGUUGGAGGUGAAAUCCCCGGGCUCAACCUGGGAACUGCCUCCAAAACUGCAGGACUAGAGUAUGGUAGAGGGUAGUGGAAUUUCCUGUGUAGCGGUGAAAUGCGUAGAUAUAGGAAGGAACACCAGUGGCGAAGGCGACUACCUGGACUGAUACUGACACUGAGGUGCGAAAGCGUGGGGAGCAAACAGGAUUAGAUACCCGGGUAGUCC
rnacentral:rRNA from 1 species